CCCUUAGAUGUUCUGGGCCGCACGCGCGCUACACUGAUGCAUUCAACGAGUUUCCUUGGCCGAGAGGCCUGGGCAAUCUUUUGAACGUGCAUCGUGAUAGGGAUAGAUUAUUGCAAUUAUUAAUCUUGAACGAGGAAUUCCUAGUAAACGCAGAUCAUCAAUCUGCAUUGAUUACGUCCCUGCCCUUUGUACACACCGCCCGUCGCACCUACCGAUUGAAUGGUCCGGUGAAGCCUCGGGAUUGUGGCGAGUUCCCUUUAUUGGGAGUUUGUUGCGAGAACUUGUCUAAACCUUAUCAUUUAGAGGAAGGUGAAGUCGUAACA
rnacentral:rRNA from 1 species